AUGUACUCUUAAUCCAGUGUAUAUGAUGUUUCUGGUACAUAAGUGUCAGAGCAGGCUGUUGGGGAGGGCCAUUACUCCUGCUUUCCUCAGUUGCCUCUAGUUCUUUGGGUAAGCAUGAGGCCUCCUGAGUAUUCAUCCUCUUUGAGUUAUAACCUAAGGAGAAGGGUGGUAUUUGCAGGAUGAAGCUGUGGUUAGUCACAAGUUUUAGAACAGCAAGUGUCUAAUAGCAUUAUGGUGUUGUAGACUGUACCAAAUCUCAAAUGGUUCUGCUUUAAUACUCAGCCUAUGUGAAGAGGUGGUAGCCCCCUCCCCUUCAUUAGGAAGGCAGCAGCUAAGAAUGAAGUAAACAAGCUGCGCAGCUAAGGAUUCGGUUUAUUCAGUUUAAUAAUUGGACUCAAAUUUAAUAAUCAAUUCACUUUACGAGUUAAUUGAUGAUUCUUAACUAGACAUGGAAACUAGAUAUUAAACCUGUUAACUGGUGGAUUAGUUGGUUAGUUAUUAGUAUUUAAAAUUGUAGAAAUUAUUACUCCUUUGAUUGCCGUACUAGCUUACUGUGUGCUUGCUGUAUAUCUGUUUGGGAAGCAAUGGCCUCUGGAGCCAUGCUGCCUGGACACUUUCCUACCACCCUUCCUAGUUGAUCUUGG
rnacentral:lncRNA from 1 species